rnacentral:lncRNA from 1 species
UAGAUAUGGUUCUACAAUUGGAAGUUUUGGAUCCACUUCUAAAUGACAUGUGUCAUUCUAUGAGAGAUGGUAUUUAAAAAAAAAUGUUCUUUGUCACAGGUGAGUUCACAACAAAGCAACCAUGACCUUUUCUUUGUCACUCACCCAUAACAAUUAGAAAACUCAGAUGCAACCAUUGUAAAAAAACAGAUUUGAUUGAAUACAUUUUUAACACAUUCAUUUCAAAAAAUAAUAAUAAGAACUAAUCUUUCAAACAAAAUACAGACAAAACACAUAAUCAAGCUAUUGUAUAGAGACACGAGAAUCAUCUCCAUUGCAGGUCAAGAACAUUAAAACUGAAAAUCCAACAAAAAUUGUGACUAAAAAACCACUAAACAAGAAAAAUAAAGAAGAGAUUCAUCUUUUACUAUGUUUCACUUUGUCAAGAAUUAAACAGCAUUACUAUACUAAACUAGCUCCAAGGAAAGAAAAAAAAACUUGAAAUCAAAACCACAGGUUGAAGACAAAGAACA